GUUGAAACACUGGUUUCUAUAUGAUCCUUGAAGUUAAGCAAUGUCAAGCCUGGUCAGUACCUAGGUGGGUGACCACCUGGGAUUAUAAGGUGGUGUA